rnacentral:pre_miRNA from 14 species
UGUGUGUGUGUGUGUGUGUGUGUGUGUGUGUGCAAGAGAGAGAGACUUGUCAUUAGAUCGAACAUGAGCCUGGCUUGAGUGACUGAGUGAUGAGCUUGGUGUUUUUGUUCCGGGCCAAAGCAGGCUUAGAUUACACACACACACACACACACACACACACACACG